UACGGGGGGGGCAAGCGUUGUUCGGAAUUACUGGGCGUAAAGGGCUCGUAGGUGGCCAACUAAGUCAGACGUGAAAUCCCUCGGCUUAACCUUGGAACUGCGUCGGAUACUGGAUGGCUUGAAUUCGGGAGAGGGAUGCAGAAUUCCAGGUGUAGCGGUGAAAUGGGUAGAUAUCUGGAGGAAUACCGGUGGCGAAGGCGGCAUCCUGGACCGACAUUGACGCUGAACGGCGAAAGCUAGGGGAGCAAACGGG
rnacentral:rRNA from 1 species